UCGAGAAUCUUCCGCAAUGGGCGAAAGCCUGACGGAGCGACACCGCGUGCAGGAUGACGGCCUUAGGGUUGUAAACUGCUGUCACGCCAUAGGAAUGUCGCGUCGUGAAUAGCGGCGCGGUUGACCAAAGCGAGAGGAAGAGCCGGCUAACUCCGUGCCAGCAGCCGCGGUAAUACGGAGGGCUCCAACGUUGUUCGGAAUCACUGGGCAUAAAGCGCACGUAGGCGGUUUACUCAGUCGGUUGUGAAAUCCCUCGGCUCAACCGAGGAACUGCAUCCGAUACUGGUAGGCUCGAGAGUGGAAGGGGUGAGUGGAACUCCAGGUGGAACGGUGAAAUGUGUAGAUAUCUGGAGGAACACCGGUGGCGAAAGCGGCUCACUGGUCCAUCUCUGACGCUGAGGUGCGAAAGCUAGGGUAGCAAACGGGAUUAGAUACCCGCGUAGUCC
rnacentral:rRNA from 1 species